rnacentral:lncRNA from 1 species
GUACUGUAUCAGAGUGAAGGCAGACGCCAGAGACACGGGGAGGUACUGUAUCAGAGUGAAGGCAGACGCCAGAGACACGGGGAGGUACUGUAUCAGAGUGAAGGCAGACAGAGACACGGGGAGGUACUGUAUCAGAGUGAAGGCAGACGCCAGAGACACGGGGAGGUACUGUAUCAGAGUGAAGGCAGACGCCAGAGACACGGGGAGGUUCUGUAUCAGAGUGAAGGCAGACGCCAGAGACACGGGGAGGUACUGUAUCAGAGUGAAGGCAGACGCCAGAGACACGGGGAGGUACUGUAUCAGAGUGAAGGCAGACAGAGACACGGGGAGGUACUGUAUCAGAGUGAAGGCAGACGCCAGAGACACGGGGAGGUACUGUAUCAGAGUGAAGGCAGACGCCAGAGACACGGGGAGGUACUGUAUCAGAGUGAAGGCAGACAGAGACACGGGGAGGUACUGUAUCAGAGUGAAGGCAGACAGAGACACGGGGAGGUACUGUAUCAGAGUGAAGGCAGACAGAGACACGGGGAGGUACUGUAUCAGAGUGAAGGCAGACAGAGACACGGGGAGGUUCUGUAUCAGAGUGAAGGCAGACAGAGACACGGGGAGGUACUGUAUCAGAGUAAAGGCAGACAGAGACACGGGGAGGUACUGUAUCAGAGUGAAGGCAGACAGAGACACGGGGAGGUACUGUAUCAGAGUGAAGGCAGACAGAGACACGGGGAGGUACUGUAUCAGAGUGAAGGCAGACAGAGACACGGGGAGGUACUGUAUCAGAGUGAAGGCAGACAGAGACACGGGGAGGUACUGUAUCAGAG